rnacentral:rRNA from 1 species
CGCGUAGGUGGUUCUGUAUGUCUACCGUGAAAGCGUACGGCUCAACCGUAUUUGUCGGUAGAAACUGCAGGACUUGAGGCUGGGAGGGGCUGGUGGAAUUCCCUGUGUAGCGGUGAAAUGCGUAGAGAUGGGGGAGAACACUCGUGGCGAAGGCGGCCAGCUAGACCAGUUCUGACACUGAGGCGCGACAGCGUGGGGAGCAAACA